GGCCUGGUCGUAUACUGGUAUUAUACGUGCUUCGGGUUAUCAUUGAUCCGAGAAUUAAAAAUUCUCAGCAUGUGCGUGAACCGGGUUCGAUUCCCGGCUAGGCCC
rnacentral:tRNA from 1 species